CCCGCACAAGCGGUGGAGCAUGUGGUUUAAUUCGAUGCAACGCGAAGAACCUUACCUGGGCUUGACAUCCCGGGAAUCCCCUGGAAACAGGGGAGUGCCCUUCGGGGAACCCGGUUACAGGUGCUGCAUGGCUGUCGUCAGCUCGUGUCGUGAGAUGUUGGGUUAAGUCCCGCAACGAGCGCAACCCUUGUCUUUAAUUGCCAUCAUUUAGUUGGGCACUUUAAAGAGACUGCCGGUGUUAAGCCGGAGGAAGUGGGGAUGACGUCAAGUCCUCAUGGCCUUUAUGCCCAGGGCUACACACGUGCUACAAUGGGCGGUACAAAGAGAAGCAACCUCGCGAGGGUGAGCAAAUCCUAAAAAGCCGGUCUCAGUUCGGAUUGCAGGCUGCAAUUCGCCUGCAUGAAGUCGGAAUCGCUAGUAAUCGCAGGUCAGCAUACUGCGGUGAAUACGUUCCCGGGCCUU
rnacentral:rRNA from 1 species